UGACCUCAAUCAGGUAGGACUACCCGCUGAACUUAGC
rnacentral:rRNA from 1 species